rnacentral:rRNA from 1 species
GUGUUUUUGAACAACAACAAAUUAAUCUUCUUACUCAACCGUUUUUAUAAUAAAAACUUUCAACAACGGAUCUCUUGGUUCUCGCAUCGAUGAAGAACGCAGCGAAUUGCGAUACGUAAUAUGACUUGCAGACGUGAAUCAUUGAAUCUUUGAACGCACAUUGCGCCUUGAGGUAUUCCUCAAGGCAUGCCUGUUUGAGCGUCGGCUCCUUUCAAACCCUCGGGUUUGGCUUUGCCUCGAAAUAUUAGGAUCUAAUGCAAUACGUUUCAUUUAAUCCAAAUUCUUCGCCCUCAAAUCAGGUAAGACUACCCGCUGAACUUAAGCAUAUCAAUAAGCGGAGGA